GGAGCUACAAUUGUUUCAGCAUGACACAUUUCGCCACCAUGCCAGAUCCUUCAUUGAACCUGCAGUCAUUCACCACUGGAAAACAUCACAGGAUAUGAUGCUCCAGCGGCUCAGUCAGGAGAACAAAUUGAUAGUUGGUGGUGACAUGAGGGCUGACUCUCCAGGACACUCUGCAAAGUUUGGGAGUUACACCAUGAUGGACCUCAACACAAACACAGUUAUUGACAGCCAGUUGGUUCAGAGUAACGAGGUUGGGGGUAAUUACUACAUGGAGAAAGAGGGCCUGAUGAGGAGUCUGGAAUUUCUGGAGGGACGUGGAAUUGCGAUUGAUUGCAUUGUUACUGACCGUCAUCCGCAAAUUCAGAAGUUCCUCAGGGAAAGAAACAUCACCCACUACUAUGAUGUAUGGCAUAUGG